UGGGGAAUUUUGGACAAUGGGCGAAAGCCUGAUCCAGCAAUGCCGCGUGUGUGAAGAAGGCCUUCGGGUUGUAAAGCACUUUUGUCCGGAAAGAAAUCCUUGGCUCUAAUACAGUCGGGGGAUGACGGUACCGGAAGAAUAAGCACCGGCUAACUACGUGCCAGCAGCCGCGGUAAUACGUAGGGUGCAAGCGUUAAUCGGAAUUACUGGGCGUAAAGCGUGCGCAGGCGGUUUGCUAAGACCGAUGUGAAAUCCCCGGGCUCAACCUGGGAACUGCAUUGGUGACUGGCAGGCUAGAGUAUGGCAGAGGGGGGUAGAAUUCCACGUGUAGCAGUGAAAUGCGUAGAGAUGUGGAGGAAUACCGAUGGCGAAGGCAGCCCCCUGGGGCCAAUACUGACGCUCAUGCACGAAAGCGUGGGGAGCAAACAGGAUUAGAUACCCUGGUAGUCCACGCCCUAAACGAUGUCAACUAGUUGUUGGGGAUUCAUUUCCUUAGUAACGUAGCUAACGCGUGAAGUUGACCGCCUGGGGAGUACGGUCGCAAGAUUAAAACUUAAAGGAAUUGAC
rnacentral:rRNA from 1 species